AAGUCGUAACAAGGUCUCCGUUGGUGAACCAGCGGAGGGAUCAUUACCGAGUUAUACAACUCAUCAACCCUGUGAACAUACCUAAAACGUUGCUUCGGCGGGAACAGACGGCCCCGUAACACGGGCCGCCCCCGCCAGAGGACCCCCUAACUCUGUUUCUAUUAUGUUUCUUCUGAGUAAAACAAGCAAAUAAAUUAAAACUUUCAACAACGGAUCUCUUGGCUCUGG
rnacentral:misc_RNA from 1 species